UAUAUUGUCAAUUCACAAAAUUCAUAAAAGAAGUGAAUUCAUUAAAUGUAUCAGAUAGGAAUCUCAUUCAGUUUAUUGCUCUAUUCUUAUUUAUUUUGGCAUUUAAUUAAAUAAGCUUGAUUAAUGAUUAAGUUUUAUUUGUUUACCUGUUCUAAUUUUGAAAAUAAAGUAAAUAUUCUGCAAAUUAUGCUCACAUUAAAGCUGAUAGAUCAUUAUGAUUAUUUUGGUUAAUAUAAAAGUUUUUACUUUUUACUACCAUAUACAUCGUCUCAAGCCUUAAAACCUAAAAUUGCCUAAUAUCUAAAUGCAAAGAUUAUCUAACUAUGUAUAAAGAAAUAUUAAAAAUCAACCUACAGAUGCUUUAGUUAUUUAUAGUACAAAUCUGUUACAAUAAAAUACAAUCAGAUCACUUGAUUGUGGUUUCAAGUGGCAGGAAUCUGAAACUUCCUAUAUAGCAGUAAUAUCGUUUACAUAUUCGUCCCUUUGAAAAGGUAAAUGAUAUAUUGGAAUUCCUGUUGCAACUUUUCUUGUUAUUUCUACAUGUAACCUUAGACCACAAAACCAAAAAUCGAAUGAGUAAAACGCUGAACGAAAAUGGAAAUGGGGUGAUUGAUAGUAAAAGUAAAAAUUGCGAGCAUAAGUAUAUGAACCGGAACGAAUUGGACAGACGUACAUAGUGAGACCGAGAUAUAGGGGAAAAAAGAGAAAAGUUACGAUGGUAAGGGUAGAUGCAGUGAGACAAGAGGUGACGCGCGGUACAUAAUUGAGAAUCGUUAACGCGUCCUCGAGGGAGAUCGAGCGGCUGGAUUUUGCUAGGUCCUCUCUUACUCUCCGCCGCCGUUACCAUCAGCUUGCCUGCCUCUUCUCGUCCCGGCUUCCUAGCCACGGUGUUGGUGACCUUCAACCGAUCAAGAGUGGAUGGACCUCGUUGGCCAGCGGGCCGAGGUAUAAGGUCAAGGUUGCUAUCGUCGGUGUGCACGGGAUAUGCGACCUCCGGGAUAUGCAUCGAGCGAGAUGCGCGCGCAAUCAGCGCAUGCGCGCCGCCAGCCGGCUUGUCGUGCGUCGCAGCGUGUCGCGCAAGUCAUUGCCAAGGUCUUUGCUGGUCACGGGCAAACCGUUAUAAGUAGCGAUGGACACGAACCGAAAUGCAAUUUUUAGACUAUAUAAUUAAUAUAUAUAUCAUUAAAUACUUUUAGAAUAUUGGUUUGAAUUCGAUAAUUGGACAAAUUAUGAAUCUGUAUUGUACAUAACUUGAAUUUGGUACAAGAUCACGAGAAUUUCGAUCCCAUCGCUAGUCGUAUGUAGCCGGUUGAGACUGAUGCAAAGCCGCCGAUGAUUUUUCCAGGGAAAAAGCAAUCAUGAAAGAAAUAAACGCGCGCGUCGCGACGCCUGCGUCACUACACCCGGCGUACAUCCAUGGCCAAGGUUCUCCCCGGUCACGGGCAACCCGUUAUACGUAGCUGGGAGCCAACACUUGCCCGAGGUCGUCCAUGACUGUCUUAUUCGCCCCAAGGCUUGGAAAAAGUUGAUCUCAGGAAGAUCCACCUAAUACGCUAUGAAAAUAUACAACGUAGAGAUGAACGUUAUUUUUAUGCAUACAAAUGAUUUUACCUUGAAUUAAAACAUUCAAAAGAAGAACUUUAUACGUUAAAGGUGAUUCAUCGAGGUAGCCGAAAUUUGGAGCAGUUUCUACAUUGCGUUAUGAUUAAUUUUUGUUGACGCGCGUACGUGCUUCAACUAGACGUCACGUCCUCGUGACCUGUAUGCAGCUGUGUGCAUAUAGUGUACGUCUGUGUAAGCUCAUGUACGUCGUAUCGAGACACGUCAAGGCCAGGACCGUAGAAGUGAGGAUUCACGAUGGAAAAUCACGAUCACGACGACGGAAAAAGUGGAGCUUCCUGCAAAAUUCAGUCGAGCUUGGAGCGCUUGUGCGAGCGACGAGCGGGCCCGCGGACAGCCACCAAGGGAAUCUCUGUUGCUUUUCAACGAGCAAAACGACCAAGCAGGAAGAAGCGCGGCGGCGCGGGCGUCGCGGUGCCAGGAGGGAGCGGGCGUUCUCCGUUCGUCGCGAGAUUAGCCAACCUGGAAGAGGGCCGAUGCCAGUGAACUCGGUUGGCCGGUCACUAACCAGGUAACCCACACUAGCAACAACGUCAACGUGCUAUGCAGCGCCGCCAGCAGCAGCAGCCACACCACCACCAGCCACGUCAACGGUGCAGGCUACGGACUUCUUCAGGCCUUCUCGUGGCCGAUGACGACGACGAUGCCGACGACGAUGAUCCUCCUCUCUUCUUGGACACUACGUGACGUACAACAUUGCAAAGAAUAGAUUUGUGAUUAUCAAAUGGAGCGCUGCCACAACUCUUGGUCCUUUUCAAGAUCUUCCGACUGUGUAAUUAGGCAUUUCGUAUAUAAUAAUAUAAUA